UACGGGGGGAGCAAGCGUUGUUCGGAUUUACUGGGCGUAAAGGGCGCGUAGGCGGCCACCGCAAGUCAGUUGUGAAAUCUCUGGGCUUAACCCAGAAAGGUCAACUGAUACUGCGGGGCUAGAGUGCAGAAGGGGCAACUGGAAUUCUCGGUGUAGCGGUGAAAUGCGUAGAUAUCAAGAGGAACACCUGAGGUGAAGACGGGUCUCUGGGCCGAUACUGACGCUGAGGAGCGAAAGCGUGGGGAGCGAACAGG
rnacentral:rRNA from 1 species